CCAGCUGCUCACAUUUUAUAAACCAGACCUUUAACAAUGAGAACUGAAAAGCAUCAGACAGGCAGUGGCAUGAAGAUGGAGUCACAGUUCCAGGUCUUCAUAUUCCUGCUCCUCUGGAUGUCUGAUGCUGAAGGGAACAUUGUGAUGACUCAGUCUCCUGAAUUCAUGUUCGCAUCUGUAGGAGAGAGAAUCACCCUAAGCUGCAAGUCCAGUCAGAGUGUGGGUAGUUAUGUAGCUUGGUACCAGCAGAAAUCAGGGCAGCCUCCUAAACUGCUAAUCUAUGAUGCAUCCACUCGAUACACUGGGGUCUCUGAUCGCUUCAUAGGCAGUGGAUCUGGGACAGAUUUCACUCUCUCCAUCAGCAGUGUGCAGGCUGAAGACCUGGCAGUUUAUUACUGUCAGCAGCGUUACAGCUAUCCUCCCACAGUGCUUCAGAUAAAUCCUACUCAUCUCACAGUUGACCAGAGGAAGCAUGGAAAGCAGCCCAACCCUAAAACUUAUACAGUGCCUGCUUUCCUUCCUCCCUGA